CAGUAGCCACGGUAAUACGUAGGGUGCAAGCGUUAAUCGGAAUUACUGGGCGUAAAGCGUGCGCAGGCGGUUAUAUAAGACAGAUGUGAAAUCCCCGGGCUCAACCUGGGAACUGCAUUUGUGACUGUAUAGCUAGAGUACGGCAGAGGGGGAUGGAAUUCCGCGUGUAGCAGUGAAAUGCGUAGAUAUGCGGAGUAACACCGAUGGCGAAGGCAAUCCCCUGGGCCUGUACUGACGCUCAUGCACGAAAGCGUGGGGAGCAAACAGGAUUAGAUACCCCAGUAGUCCCUGUCUCUUAUAA
rnacentral:rRNA from 1 species